rnacentral:rRNA from 1 species
GACGAACGCUGGCGGCGUGCCUAAUACAUGCAAGUCGAACGCUUCUUUCCUCCCGAGUGCUUGCACUCAAUUGGAAAGCGGAGUGGCGGACGGGUGAGUAACACGUCGGUAACCUACCCAUCAGAGGGGGAUAACAUUUGGAAACAGGUGCUAAUACCGCAUAACAGUUUAUGCUGCAUGGCAUAAGAGUGCAAGGCGCUUUCGGGUGUAGUUGCUGGAUGGUCCCGCGGUGCAUUAGCUAGUUGGUGAGGUAACGGUUCACCAAGGCCACGAUGCAUAGCCGACCUGAGAGGAUGAUCGCCCACACUAGGACUGAGACACGGUCCAGACUCCUACGGGAGGCAGCAGUAGGGAAUCUUCUGCAAUGGACGAAAGUCUGACCGAGCAGCGCCGCGCGAUUGAAGAAGGUUUACUGAUCGUAGAACUCUGUUGUUAGAGAAGAACAAGGACGUUAGUAACUGAACGUCCCCUGACGGUAUCUAACCAGAAAGCCACGGCUAACUACGUG